rnacentral:rRNA from 1 species
UAGGGAGUCUUCCACAAUGGACGCAAGUCUGAUGGAGCAACGCCGCGUGAGUGAAGAAGGGUUUCGGCUCGUAAAGCUCUGUUGUUAAAGAAGAACGUGGGUAAGAGUAACUGUUUACCCAGUGACGGUAUUUAACCAGAAAGCCACGGCUAACUACGUGCCA